UUUUAUGAGAGUUUGAUCCUGGCUCAGGACGAACGCUGGCGGCGUGCCUAAUACAUGCAAGUCGUACGCUUCUUUUUCCACCGGAAAAAGAGGAGUGGCGAACGGGUGAGUAACACGUGGGUAACCUGCCCAUCAGAAGGGGAUAACACUUGGAAACAGGUGCUAAUACCGUAUAACAAUCGAAACCGCAUGGUUUUGAUUUGAAAGGCGCUUUCGGGU
rnacentral:rRNA from 1 species